GGUGAACGCUGGCGGCGUGCUUAAGACAUGCAAGUCGAACGGCAGUCUUCGGACUGUAGUGGCGCACGGGUGAGUAACGCGUAACUGACCUACCCCAAAGUCGCGGAUAACGAUUCGAAAGAAUCGCUAAUACGUGAUGUGCUGUCAGAUUGUGUUCUGCCAGUAAAGAUUGAUUGCUUUGGGAUGGGGUUGCGUUCCACCAGCUGGUUGGUGGGGUAAGGGCCCACCAAGGCGACGACGGAUAGCCGGCCUGAGAGGGUGGCCGGCCACAGGGGCACUGAGAAACGGGUCCCACUCCUACGGGAGGCAGCAGUUAGGAAUCUUCCACAAUGGGCGAAAGCCUGAUGGAGCGACGCCGCGUGAGGGAUGAAGGUCUUCGGAUCGUAAACCUCUGAAUCAGGGACGAAAGACACUUCGGUGGGAUGACGGUACCUGAGUAAUAGCACCGGCUAACUCCGUGCCAGCAGCCGCCGUAAAAC
rnacentral:rRNA from 1 species